AUUGUUUUCGUAAACUCGCUAUUCGUCAAUGCAACGUUUAAGCACAGAACGAUUCGAACUUUCUCUUCGAUCGAAGUCUUGAAACGGUUAUCAUCGAAAUGGACAAUAACGAAGGGAAAAGUCUGGGAUACCGUUUAUGCAGGACCCUUUCCAAGUCUUUUCUAUUCUGUCUGCCAUAAAUACGGAAACACACGAUUGUACUAUCGGCGGGAACGAUAAAAAUAGACCUCCCGUAUAGGUUAAGUUUGGCCCGCUUACUAUCGGGCCGCAAGUUACGAUUAAAAGAGCGCGGCGCAGAUCCGCCCAGGCCGUGUUUCGAAUUCUCGGUUUCGAAGAAUACGACAGGGGUGACAGAGGGGUCAGAAGGCCAACUCUUCUCAAGAACUAAACGUCGGAAGCUCAAUUCUCCGAAUCCCAACUCGGAAGACUCGCGGAUUUAUGCUUAUCGUAAACAUCAUUGCAGACGAAUCUCGUGGCAACUCGAUCCAAUGGAUGAGAGAUCCGUGUGCUGAUAACUCGAAACAAACAACGAUACCAUGAAGACGUAAAUACGAAUCAAAAUCUUCUUCCAAUUUACAUUAUAAUAUUUCAAAUUGAUAAUUAAAACAAGAAUAAAAAGAAAAGGAAGAAAAUGAUUCAAAAAUUUUUAAAAUUGGGAAGAGAGAUACAAUUAUCAACGAUCCCGAUUGUAAACUUUCGUCAAAGGCAACGGGGUUCCACGCUCUCGACUUAUGGCCGGUUAAAGUCAAUUCGAUAGCAGUUAACGAAUUGUUGGGGGUGAAUAGAAGGGGUUUGCGGUUAACGCGAGGGGUUGACAGGGGAACGCAUAAUACAUUGUUACCCCAUCCACCGGAUUCAACUUCCCCUUCCACGUGCAGUAAUUUUCUCCGCGCGAAACUCGACAUCGGAGUGAACUAUCUCAUAAUUAAAAUUACCGUACUAUACGUACGCAUCGAGAGACUUCAACACUCUAAUACGCGUUGAAUUUAUGUUAUAUUCGAGUCACGGCUGUUAUUUGUCGCUUAAUUAUCAUUAAUUAUCAUCGAUAUUCACUUUUGCUACACCUAUCAUGAUCAUUCAUCUCUUCAUUUAGAAAGAUUAAUUUUAAUUUUUUAUUUUUUAAUUCCUUUUUUUCUUCAAUUUAUUUGUUUAAAUGAUAAAAAAUUAGAUUAAGUUAAAAAUUAUUUAUGGAAUGGUAAUAAUAAGACAAAUACAAUACUUUAAUUUUUAUAUAUUUUUUUAGACAGUUUUUAAUGAAUACAAUAUGCUACAGAUUGUUUAUUACAAAUAAAAUUUUAAUUAAUAAGCAUUUAUAAUAUAGUUUAAACAUAUAUGAUAAUCAUAAUAUAAAAAGCGUAUAUGAGUCAUGUUUUAUUUCAUGAAAAUAAAAAUUAAAGAAUAUUUUUUUGCAUGAUAAUUGUUUAAAACAAAUUGUAUAUACAAAAUUUAUAUUUAAAUAAUAAUAAAUUAAUAAUUAA